rnacentral:rRNA from 1 species
GGAGUCUGGGCCGUGUCUCAGUCCCAAUGUGGCCGUUCACCCUCUCAGGCCGGCUAUGGAUCGUUGCUUUGGUGGGCCGUUACCCCGCCAACCGGCUAAUCCAACGCGGAGCCAUCCUGUACCACCGGAGUUUUUCACACUGCAUCAUGCGAUGCUGUGCGCUUAUGCGGUAUUAUCAACCGUUUCCAGUUGUUAUCCCCCUGUAUGAGGCAGGUUACCCACGCGUUACUCACCCGUCCGCCACUCGAUUGGAUGGUGCAAGCACCUUCCUCUCUCGUUCGACUUGCAUGUGUUAGGCACGCCGCCAGCGUUCAUC